rnacentral:rRNA from 1 species
GAUGAACGCUGGCGGCGUGCCUAAUACAUGCAAGUCGAGCGAACAGACGAGGAGCUUGGUCUUCUGAUGUUAGCGGCGGACGGGUGAGUAACACGUGGAUAACCUACCUAUAAGACUGGGAUAACUUCGGGAAACCGGAGCUAAUACCGGAUAACAUGUCGAACUGCAUGGUUCAAGAGUGAAAGACGGUCUUGCUGUCACUUAUAGAUUGAUCCGCGCCGCAUUAGCGAGUUGGUAGGGUAACGGCUUACCAAGGCAACGAUGCGUAGCCGACGCGAGGGGGGGUACGGCGACCCUGGAACUGAGACGCGGCACAGACUCUGAGAGGAGGCAGCGGUAGGGAAUGUUGCGCAAUGGGGGAAAGCCUGACGGAGGAACGCCGGGUGAGUGCAGAAGGUCUUCGGGUGGGAAAACGCUGUUAUGGUGGAAGAACAAAUGCGUAAGUAACUAUGCACGUUUUGACGGUACCGAGUCAGAAAGCCACGGCUAACUACGUG